CUGCGACACACAUCUUGGGUAACUCCUUGAUGAGAAAAGACUGAAUCUCAUGCUCUACCACAGCCAGUUAUGUAUUUCUGUUGGUUUCUGAUCAAGCAAAUGUGUGAAAUUCAAAACAGGAGUGCUGACAGCUAUUGUGCCGAUUGGGGAAUAGUGAGAUACACAGGCUCUGAAAAUAACAAUAUCACGUCUUUCUGCACUUGUUGAGGUGGAGGCUGCCAAUUGAUGGCCUGCAGCUCAGACGCAGCCUGUUCCUGAAUGCUUCUGUUCUGUUACAUCAUAGAAAAACGUUUCUUGUCCACUGCAGCAGUCAAUAAGUUGGGUGUCCUGCCUGAGCUGGCUGAAGCUCCUGUGUCCCCAAUGUCUGUCUCCGCUCAGACAAGCUAACAGGCCCCAGCCCACCCAACAAGCAGCUGGCGAGUAGCUCCCAGUGCCGCAUGUGGCUCUGCCGCUGAUUCACUGCCUUGACAGAGAUCCAAGGGCCCCACUUCGCACUCCCUCCAGGGCGUGCGUGCGUCUGCAUGCAAGCACGCCACAGGCAGCCCGUGCUCCAGCCCUAUCUGCAGAUAGCGAAUGUAAAUCACCCGCAGUGUUGCACAACCACUGCGUUAUAUCCGUGCAGAUCGGUCAGUCUGCUCACCUGCACGAGUGCUUGCUCCCAUGUCUCUGCCUGGUGCAUCCUGUGCUGGUGUUAAUGACUUCAGCCACCUGGCUCCUCCACAAGGGCAGCCUGGCAUCCCUGGCACCAGCAAGGACACGCAGCAGUGACAGAAGCCAUACCCUGCCUGCCUCCCCUCCUCUAAGCAUGGCUGUGUCUCUGUAAGAGUGCUUUUCUCCUACAUUGCUGUUUCCUUGUUCCCAUCAUCCUCCAUUGUCAUCCUGCUUCUUCCUUUUUCACACGGAGGAGUUAAAGCUAACCUAAGUGAGUGCCACACAAGCAGACGAGAUAUAGCCUGAACUGCAUUUGCAUCAGUGGUAGUCUGAGAAAAACAGAACAGGGAUGUUUAAUUCUAGAAGUUGUCCUGAAUCACACCUUCUUCAUAAAUAACAAAAGUAGCCGAAGGAAAACUAUUCCAGCUUUCCUGCUGUCUCAUAGCAUGAUUGCAAUGUCCAAGGCACCCAGCACUGGGAUGGUGGGAACCUAGCUGACUUACAGCUUUCCUAGGGGCGCUGAGCUCAAGCCACACUUGGUUCUCUCCCUUGGUUUCACCAAGCAUAAAGGUGAGCUUGCCACAAUUUGAGAUCUUUCUGAGAAGUUCCCGAGUUACUGCUGUGCUGGGGAGAAGCAGUCGCCCCAUGGCUCUUACAGGGUGCAUGUUGCUCCCUGUCCACCUUAAGGUGCAACCGUGAGACACACUCGAUGCAGACUGUCUACUCCAUAGGAUUUCCCGGUAUUUUGAGGAGACGGAAAGCAAAAUGUAACGAUCUAGUGCUUUAAAGGAGGACUGAGCAUUGGUGGGAGGCUUGUUCAGUAUCUGAGUGGGAUCAUGACUACGAUGUUCAUCUGCAUGUUACCGGCGUGAAAAUACGCAAUUGGGAGCGGUUUGAAGACGAGUGGGCUUGGAAGAAAGGAAAACUAUUCCAGGGAGGGAGGAGGAAGGGACUGCUAACGUUUGCAGCACGAAGAUCAUGGAGAAGAUGGAGAUAUCAGAACAGGAUAAUUUGCAGGAGGAGGAAAUCAGGCAUAGAUCAUUAGCGCUUUAUGGGAGGCAACCCUAAAAGCAUGCUGGGAGGAUGGUAUUUCCCCUCUGGGCAGCAGCAGGCGAUGCCAAACCCGCCUGCUGCAGAGGCAGGAGGUUACCAGCCAACCCAGCACACAUCGACCCCGUGGGACCUUUCUUUCAAGCACGCCAUGAGCGUGCUGGCACGUAGAGAUGCUGGCAGCCACGUUUCACAGCAGCGAUGAUGCAAUAUGGCUCUUGUUUCAGAAGCAUCUCCUUCAAGUUGACAGAUACUGUUAGCAUCUGAUUCUGCUCGGAUUGCCAGCGCCGGGGUUUGAGAUGCUUUCCCGAUGAUCUCUGAAGGUGCAGAAAGUGCACGGUGGCUGUGAAAAGCCUUCCAGCCUGUGCUUAGCAGGACGGCCAGCUGCACGCUUCAAGUAUGUGAAAAAGCCAACAAAUAACAGCUCGCUGCUUUUGCCCGGUGCUUUAAGCCAGGGAAUGAAUGUUUGCAGCUCACUUGGGAUUUGGUUGUGUUUGGUGGGUUGGUUCACGGCACCAGGACCUUCCAGCAAUGCUCCUCCAGUAUUCUUCACAUUCUUUUGUCUGAGAGAGGGGAAAAUGUAUGACUGAUUCUUGCUUAAUUAGGCCUCAUCUGCUAAACAGUUUUGUCACUAUUUACAUACGAGUAGUCCCGCUGAAGUCAAGUCCUACAGCUGUAUACUUCAUCUGGUAACAAUGUAAAUCCAAGAUAAACAUACUUGGAACAAGAGAAGUACAUUACCUUAUAUGUACGAACCACCUGAACAUAGCAAGCCCUGCGCAGCGCAGCUCUGGCAGAGGCCAACAGCUAUGCUGUCUCAGCACCCUGGAAGCAGAACACCUGAUUGUCACUCUUAAAUUUUGGACUGGACUUGAUGAGCUAGGGCUGACUUUUACUGAAGCGUAUGGCUUGCCACAUGAAUGACUUUGAAAUAACUGUGCCCCUCUGUGAUAAGGUGAGAAGCACUUCUCUCCAGCUACUCCAACAAGUGGUGUCUCAUGGCUGGAUCUCCCAUGGCCUGGGAUCUCUGUUCUUCCAGAGAUAACAGAGUCAGGGAUGAGAGGUAGGAGGAGUAAAUGGCUGGAAAACCCAGUGAAUAUCUGGGUUUAAUCUGCUCCAUUCCCUCCUCAAUGCUUCUUCUGCAGGAAUCUCUCUGAAGGACCUGGCAGUGACUUUUACCUGCUGUAUCUAUGUGACCACUGACAUCCUGUCUCUGUCCCUGGUCCCCCAGAACAGUGUGGACUGUUUGGUCACCAGUGAGCAUCCCUAUGGGAUUUUGAUUGCUUUAUCCAACAGACUCCUCUUCUGCUAGGUAACUCCCAUGCAUUUGGGCAUCCUGUAUUACUCUACCCAUGACCUUUUGUUUUUCCAUACCCUUUAUUUUUGUUACCCUGAUUACUACACUUUUUUUUUUUUUUUUUUUCCUCACCCAUGAAUUACUUCAGACUGAUAUGAUGGAAGUGAUGAAGAGUUGAACACCCCUUAAGCUUAAUUUGGUCUGAUGCCCUGAGACCAUCAGCAGUUGUCUAUCAUAGUGAGGUGGAGGGCUUGUGUUGAGUUAUCCUAAUCAGUUUCCCAGGAGCAUUUCAGGACAUCAUUCUAGCAUUGGCAAACCCCAUCAGCUGUGUGUCCUGUUCCAGCCUAGAUUUCCUGGAUGGACAACUUUUGUGCAAGUUUUUAGUAAGUUCAAUACUAUUACCUCAUCAGAAUGGUGUGACCUGGCCAAAUUUUCCUCUGGACAUUCCUAGCAACGGAGAGCUGUGAUAAAAAAUGGAACUAUCUGAAAGUUAAUGGGAUGAGAAGCAGGGAGAAGUGCUUUGAAUUGACAACUUCUUUACAAAUGAUGGAGCUGGA